rnacentral:rRNA from 1 species
AGAGUUUGAUCCUGGCUCAGGAUGAACGCUAGCGACAGGCUUAACACAUGCAAGUCGAGGGGCAGCACAGGUAGCAAUACCGGGUGGCGACCGGCGCACGGGUGAGUAACGCGUAUGCAACUUACCUAUCAGAGGGGGAUAACCCGGCGAAAGUCGGACUAAUACCGCAUGAAGCAGGGGCCCCGCAUGGGGAUAUUUGCUAAAGAUUCAUCGCUGAUAGAUAGGCAUGCGUUCCAUUAGGCAGUUGGCGGGGUAACGGCCCACCAAACCGACGAUGGAUAGGGGUUCUGAGAGGAAGGUCCCCCACAUUGGUACUGAGACACGGACCAAACUCCUACGGGAGGCAGCAGUGAGGAAUAUUGGUCAAUGGCCGAGAGGCUGAACCAGCCAAGUCGCGUGAGGGAUGAAGGUUCUAUGGAUCGUAAACCUCUUUUAUAAGGGAAUAAAGUGCGGGACGUGUCCCGUUUUGUAUGUACCUUAUGAAUAAGGAUCGGCUAACUCCGUGCCAGCAGCCGCGGUAAUACGGAGGAUCCGAGCGUUAUCCGGAUUUAUUGGGUUUAAAGGGUGCGUAGGCGGCCUUUUAAGUCAGCGGUGAAAGUCUGUGGCUCAACCAUAGAAUUGCCGUUGAAACUGGGGGGCUUGAGUAUGUUUGAGGCAGGCGGAAUGCGUGGUGUAGCGGUGAAAUGCAUAGAUAUCACGCAGAACCCCGAUUGCGAAGGCAGCCUGCCAAGCCAUUACUGACGCUGAUGCACGAAAGCGUGGGGAUCAAACAGGAUUAGAUACCCUGGUAGUCCACGCAGUAAACGAUGAUCACUAGCUGUUUGCGAUACACUGUAAGCGGCACAGCGAAAGCGUUAAGUGAUCCACCUGGGGAGUACGCCGGCAACGGUGAAACUCAAAGGAAUUGACGGGGGCCCGCACAAGCGGAGGAACAUGUGGUUUAAUUCGAUGAUACGCGAGGAACCUUACCCGGGCUUAAAUUGCAGAUGAAUUACGGUGAAAGCCGUAAGCCGCAAGGCAUCUGUGAAGGUGCUGCAUGGUUGUCGUCAGCUCGUGCCGUGAGGUGUCGGCUUAAGUGCCAUAACGAGCGCAACCCUUG